rnacentral:rRNA from 1 species
CCCCAUAGUAUUAUCGGGCCGCAUGGUUUGAUAAUUAAAGGUUACGGUACGGGAUGGGCAUGCGUCCUAUUAGCUAGAUGGUAAGGUAACGGCUUACCAUGGCUACGAUAGGUAGGGGGCCUGAGAGGGUGAUCCCCCACACUGGUACUGAGACACGGACCAGACUCCUACGGGAGGCAGCAGUGAGGAAUAUUGGACAAUGGGCGCAAGCCUGAUCCAGCCAUGCCGCGUGCAGGAAGACGGUCCUAUGGAUUGUAAACUGCUUUUAUUUGGGAAUAAACCUCCUUACGUGUAGGGAGCUGAAUGUACCAAAUGAAUAAGCACCGGCUAACUCCGUGCCAGCA